ensembl:lncRNA
AUGGCUUCUUCUGGGGAAGAAAUAAUAUCUAUACAGAGAGGUUGCAACUUACCUGCGCUUAACAGAUGCACCUCCUGCUGUUCCCUAUUUCACUGUCCUUUCUGUACUUCUGAUUUUUUCAAGCCCUCAAAGAAAAAUUAUACAAUCCACCAGUGUGGUCUAGGUUGUGUGUCACAAUUACACUACCAUUGUGUAUAUUGUUCCUCAAUAAAAAUCCGACGUGACAACUUUGUGGCCCACUUGAAAGGCUGUAAGAAUACCAGUAAAUUAACCAUUUACUGAUGUGGCUCCCUUAACUGCCAGUACAUUGACGACCAUUCCUGUAUGAGGCGCUGCGUAGGAUUUAAAUCAAACUUCGCUUAUGCAUACAUGUAUAAAACACGUGCAUAUACACCUAUACAUUACUCACAUAUACAUGCAUACUACUGGAUGUUCACAAAUACAUAUAUUAAAAACACAUGCACACUAAUAUGAAAUCGAUACCAAUACAUAUGUGACCUUUGGUUUUUCUGGCCCGGUUUGCCCCAUUCAUCAACAGCACACACACAUACUCAGA